GACGAACGCUGGCGGCGUGCCUAAUACAUGCAAGUAGAACGCACAGUUUAUACCGUAGCUUGCUACACCAUAGACUGUGAGUUGCGAACGGGUGAGUAACGCGUAGGUAACCUGCCUGGUAGCGGGGGAUAACUAUUGGAAACGGUAGCUAAUACCGCAUAAUAUUAAUUAUUGCAUGAUAAUUAAUUGAAAGGUGCAAUUGCACCACUACCAGAUGGACCUGCGUUGUAUUAGCUAGUAGGUGAGGUAACGGCUCACCUAGGCGACGAUACAUAGCCGACCUGAGAGGGUGAUCGGCCACACUGGGACUGAGACACGGCCCAGACUCCUACGGGAGGCAGCAGUAGGGAAUCUUCGGCAAUAGACGAAAGUCUGACCGAGCAACGCCGCGUGAGUGAAGAAGGUUUUCGGAUCGUAAAGCUCUGUUGUAAGAGAAGAACGGGUGUGAGAGUGGAAAGUUCACACUGUGACGGUAUCUUACCAGAAAGGGACGGCUAACUACGUG
rnacentral:rRNA from 1 species